UAAAGGGUCCGCAGGCGUGCGUAUAAGUCAGUGGUGAAAUCCUGCAGCUUAACUGCAGAACUGCCAUUGAUACUGUACGUCUUGAAUUCGGUCGAAGUGGGCGGAAUGUGUAGUGUAGCGGUGAAAUGCAUAGAUAUUACACAGAACACCGAUAGCGAAGGCAGCUCACUAGGCCUGGAUUGACGCUCAGGGACGAAAGCGUGGGGAUCAAACAGGAUUAGAUACCGGGU
rnacentral:rRNA from 1 species